GGGGAAUAUUGGACAAUGGGCGAAAGCCUGAUCCAGCCAUGCCGCGUGAGUGAUGAAGGCCCUAGGGUUGUAAAGCUCUUUCACCGGGGAAGAUAAUGACGGUACCCGGAGAAGAAGCCCCGGCUAACUUCGUGCCAGCAGCCGCGGUAAUACGAAGGGGGCUAGCGUUGUUCGGAAUUACUGGGCGUAAAGCGCACGUAGGCGGACUGGUCAGUUAGGGGUGAAAUCCCGGGGCUCAACCCCGGAACUGCCUUUAAUACUGCCAGUCUAGAGUUCGAGAGAGGUGAGUGGAAUUCCGAGUGUAGAGGUGAAAUUCGUAGAUAUUCGGAGGAACACCAGUGGCGAAGGCGGCUCACUGGCUCGAUACUGACGCUGAGGUGCGAAAGCGUGGGGAGCAAAC
rnacentral:rRNA from 1 species